rnacentral:tRNA from 1 species
GUAUGAAUAGCUUAUUUAGAGCGAAACUUUGAAGAAGUUUAGGUAGACUAUUCUUUUAUACA